GGCGGGGUAGCCAAGUGGUAAGGCAGGGGUCUGCAAAACCCUUAUGCGUCGGUUCGAUUCCGACCCUCGCCUCCA
rnacentral:tRNA from 2 species